rfam:Pseudomonadales bacterium RIFCSPLOWO2_12_59_9 rifcsplowo2_12_sub10_scaffold_356, whole genome shotgun sequence.
UUGGUUAGAAAUUAACCCAGCCCGGCACCGUCUUGGUGUCGGCAGCAACCCGCCGCAAGGGCAAUGGGCUGCGCCGGCAGAACUUUCUGCCCGACCCCAGCUAGGGGCCAAAGGAAUAUCACAGUCAAC